CACACACACACACACACACUCACACAUUUCUUCUUCAUUCACACAGCACCAAGGAAGCAUGCCUACAUGAUGAAACCCACAGGACGAUGAAGACUCAGACGUCAGGAGUCAGAGAAGAUCAUCAGCUGAAGACAGGUGAAAGAGACGGAGGAUGAAACAGAGAAACAUGUUACUCGCUGAUACCAGAGUGAUUGUUGCACACAAUCCUCUUCACAGGAGAAGACGAAGCAAAGACCUGCCUCUUUACAUGAGGAUUGUUCUUCUGGGCUCCAGCGUGUCUGAAAACAGUAGAGUAGGAAACUUCAUCUUAGGACGAGCAGCGUUUGACAGUGAAGCUGCUCCAGAUGUUGUAGAAAGAGUCGGAGGAAGACUGAAGGACAGACACCUGAUGAUCAUCAACAGUCCUCAGCUGCUCCAGACGAACAUCUCAGAUCAUCAGAUCACACAGACAGUGAGAGAGUGUAUGUUUCUGUCUGAUCCAGGACCUCAUGUGAUCCUUCUGCUCCUCAAACAUGAGCAGUGUUCAGCAGAAGAUCAGGAGCGUGUGGAGAAGGUGCUGGGAUCUUUCUCUGAGCAGGUUUAUCAACACACCAUGGUGCUCAGCACACAAGAGACCACAGAAACCAGUGACGUCCUACAGAACAUCAUUCAGAAGUGUGGAAACAGACACUUCAGUCUUCAGAAGAGCAGCUCUCCUGAGGAUCUUCUGCUGAUGUUUGAGGAGAUUGUGAAGAUGAAUGAUGGACAUCACCUGGAGUGUGCUGAAGCUGCACAGUGUUUCACCAUGAAACAACAGAUCACAGAGAGACGUGAGUGUGAGGAUAGUUGAAGUUUCAGAGGCUGUGAAGCUGAAUCUGGUCAUGUGUGGGAGCGACGGGAUUUUAAAAUCCUCCGUAUCAGAGCAGAUCCUGCAGCAGACAGAUGUGGAGCUUCAUGGUCGGAUCAGUGUGAUAGAGCUUCCAGCUCUGACUCGUCUCUCAGAAGAGGAAGUGAUGCGUCAGACUCUCAGCUGUGUGUCUCUCUGUCAUCCUGGAGUUCAUGCUUUCCUCCUCAUUGUCCCUGAUGCUCCACUCAAUCAUGAAGACAAAGCAGAAACAGAGAAGAUCAACAAACACAUCAUGACCCUCAUAAAGAAGGAAUCAGAAGAACUCAGUGAAGAGACACAGUCUCUCAUUGAGAGGUUCGGAGGACAACAUCAGUUCUUCGGUCCAAAGACACAAGUGUCCACAUUGAUGGAGAACAUCGAGCAGAUGCUGGAAGAAAACAGAGGAGAGUUUUACGCCACAGAGACAUUUCUGGAGAUUCAGAAGAAAACACUGAUGAAAUAUGAAGAGAUGGAGAUGAAAAUCAACUCAACAGACACAUAUUUAGUGUCACAAGAAGAUAGACGACAUGGUGAAAGAGAACUGAAACUCCUUGAAGAACAGGAUGAAGAAGAACUGAAGUGAAGACGAGUGCAGUGGAGAGAGGAAUAUGAGAGAAAGGAAGAGGAGAUGAAGAUGAUGAAGAAGAUCUGCUCUAAAACUGAUCCGUCACUGCAGGUGAGAAACAUGAAGACAAGAUAUUAAUUAAUGCCAUUUUAACCCUUUAAACACCUCAACUCUGAUAUCUCAAGUUCACAGUUUGCAUAAUUAUUCAUUGAUAUUUGAAAAAAUAUAUUCAUACAUUACACAUUUAACAGCAAAGAAUGUUUUGAAGUUUACGGUGCAGUUCUUAGUCUAUGUGUCAACCACUACAGAUUGUCCAAUCAGAACAAUAAAUCACUCUGUGCAUGUCCACAAUAAACUCCUUUACUGCUCCCUUUUGAAUCAUA